UACGAAGGGUGCAAGCGUUACUCUGAAUUACUGGGCGUAAAGCGUGCGUAGGUGGUGAGUUAAGUCUGUCGUGAAAGCCCCGGGCUCAACCUGGGAAUGGCGAUGGAUACUGGCUCGCUAGAGUGCGGUAGAGGAGAGUGGAAUUCCCGGUGUAGCAGUGAAAUGCGUAGAGAUCGGGAGGAACAUCAGUUGCGAAGGCGGCUCUCUGGACCAGCACUGACACUGAGGCACGAAAGCGUGGGGAGCAAACAGG
rnacentral:rRNA from 1 species